rnacentral:rRNA from 1 species
AGAUUAAGUUAUUAAGGGCGCACGGUGGAUGCCUUGGCACUAGAAGCCGAUGAAGGACGUUACUAACGACGAUAUGCUUUGGGUAGCUGUAAGUAAGCAUUGAUCCAGAGAUUUCCGAAUGGGGAAACCCAGCACAAGUUAUGUUGUGUUAUCGACAUGUGAAUACAUAGCAUGUUAGAAGGCAGACCCGGAGAACUGAAACAUCUUAGUACCCGGAGGAAGAGAAAGAAAAAUCGAUUCCCUGAGUAGCGGCGAGCGAAACGGGAAGAGCCCAAACCAAUAAGCUUGCUUAUUGGGGUUGUAGGACACUCUAUACGGAGUUACAAAGGAAUAUAUUAGACGAAUCAUCUGGAAAGAUGAAUCAAAGAAGGUAAUAAUCCUGUAGUUGAAAAUAUAUUCUCUCUUGAGUGGAUCCUGAGUACGACGGAGCACGUGAAAUUCCGUCGGAAUCUGGGAGGACCAUCUCCUAAGGCUAAAUACUCUCUAGUGACCGAUAGUGAACCAGUACCGUGAGGGAAAGGUGAAAAGUACCCCGGAAGGGGAGUGAAAGAGAACUUGAAACCGUGUGCUUACAAGUAGUCAGAGCCCGUUAAUGGGUGAUGGCGUGCCUUUUGUAGAAUGAACCGGCGAGUUACGAUUUGAUGCAAGGUUAAGCAGGAAAUGUGGAGCCGUAGCGAAAGCGAGUCUGAAUAGGGCGUUGAGUAUUUGGUCGUAGACCCGAAACCAGGUGAUCUACCCUUGGUCAGGUUGAAGUUCAGGUAACACUGAAUGGAGGACCGAACCGACUUACGUUGAAAAGUGAGCGGAUGAACUGAGGGUAGCGGAGAAAUUCCAAUCGAACUUGGAGAUAGCUGGUUCUCUCCGAAAUAGCUUUAGGGCUAGCCUCAAGUGAUGAUUAUUGGAGGUAGAGCACUGUUUGGACGAGGGGCCCCUCUCGGGUUACCGAAUUCAGACAAACUCCGAAUGCCAAUUAAUUUAACUUGGGAGUCAGAACAUGGGUGAUAAGGUCCGUGUUCGAAAGGGAAACAGCCCAGACCACCAGCUAAGGUCCCAAAAUAUAUGUUAAGUGGAAAAGGAUGUGGCGUUGCCCAGACAACUAGGAUGUUGGCUUAGAAGCAGCCAUCAUUUAAAGAGUGCGUAAUAGCUCACUAGUCGAGUGACACUGCGCCGAAAAUGUACCGGGGCUAAACAUAUUACCGAAGCUGUGGAUUGUCCUUUGGACAAUGGUAGGAGAGCGUUCUAAGGGCGUUGAAGCAUGAUCGCAAGGACAUGUGGAGCGCUUAGAAGUGAGAAUGCCGGUGUGAGUAGCGAAAGACGGGUGAGAAUCCCGUCCACCGAUUGACUAAGGUUUCCAGAGGAAGGCUCGUCCGCUCUGGGUUAGUCGGGUCCUAAGCUGAGGCCGACAGGCGUAGGCGAUGGAUAACAGGUUGAUAUUCCUGUACCACCUAGUAUCGUUUUAAUCGAUGGGGGG